rnacentral:rRNA from 1 species
GACGAACGCUGGCGGCGUGCUUAACACAUGCAAGUCGAACGGAAAGGCCCUGCUUUUGUGGGGUGCUCGAGUGGCGAACGGGUGAGUAACACGUGAGUAACCUGCCCUUGACUUUGGGAUAACUUCAGGAAACUGGGGCUAAUACCGGAUAGGAGCUCCUGCUGCAUGGUGGGGGUUGGAAAGUUUCGGCGGUUGGGGAUGGACUCGCGGCUUAUCAGCUUGUUGGUGGGGUAGUGGCUUACCAAGGCUUUGACGGGUAGCCGGCCUGAGAGGGUGACCGGACACAUUGGGACUGAGAUACGGACCAGACUCCUACGGGAGGCAGCAGUGGGGAAUAUUGCACAAUGGGCGGAAGCCUGAUGCAGCAACGCCGCGUGCGGGAUGACGGCCUUCGGGUUGUAAACCGCUUUCGCCUGUGACGAAGCGUGAGUGACGGUAAUGGGUAAAGAAGCACCGGCUAACUACGUG